rnacentral:rRNA from 1 species
CCUGGUUGAUCUUGCCAGUAGUCAUAUGCUUGUCUCAAAGAUUAAGCCAUGCAUGUGUACGUAUGAACUAAUUCAGACUGUGAAACUGGGAAUGGCUCAUUAAAUCAGUUAUAGUUUGUUUGAUGGUAUUUGCUACUCGGAUAACUAUAGUAAUUCUAGAGCUAAUACGUGCAAUAAUCCAUGUUGCUCUGAUGAUUCAUGACAACUCGACGGAUCACACGGCCUUUGUGCCGGCGAUGCAUCAUUCAAAUUUCUGCCCUAUCAACUUUCGAUGGUAGGAUAGUGGCCUACUAUGGUGGUGACGGGUGACGGGGGAUUAGGAAUUGAUUUUGGAGAAGGAGCCUGAGAAACGGCUACCACAUCCAAGGAAGACAGUAGGCUCGCAAAUUACCAAAUCCUGACACGGGGAGGUAGUGACAAUAAAUAACAAUACCGGGCUCUACGAUUCUAGUAAUUGGAAUGAGUACAAUCUAAAUCCCUUAACGAGGAUCCAUUGGAGUGCAAGUCUGGUGCUAGCACCCGCGGUAAUUCCAUCUCCAAUAUCGUAUAUUUAAGUUGUUGCAGUUAAAAAGCUCGUAGUUGGACCUAGGGGUGGGUCGGCCGGUCCACCUCACGGUGACCACUGGUCUGCUCGUCCCUACUGCUGGCGAUGCGCUCCUGGCCUUAAUUGGCCAGGUCGUUCCUAUGGCUCUGUUACUUUGAAGAAAUUAGAGUGCUCAAAGCUGGCCUACACUUCUAUACAUUAGCAUGGGAUAACAUCACAGGAUUUCAAUCCUAUUGUGUUGACCUUCGGGAUCGGAGUAAUGAUUAAUAGGGACAGUCGGGGGCAUUCGUAUUUCAUAGUCAGAGGUGAAAUUCUUGGAUUUAUGAAAGACGAACAACUACGAAAGCAUUUGCCAAGGAUGUUUUCAUUAAUCAAUAACGAAAGUUGGGGGCUCGAAGACGAUCUGAUACCGUCCUAGUCUCAACCAUAAACAAUACCGACAAGGGAUCGACGCAUGUUGCUUUUAGGACUUUGCCAGCACAUUAUGAGAAAUCAAAGUCUUUGGGUUCCGGAGGGAGUAUGGUUGCAAGGCUAAAACUUAAAGGAAUUGUCGAAAGGGCAUCACCAGGAGUAGAGCCCGCGGCUUAAUUUGACUCAACAAGGGGAAACUUACCAGGUUCAGACAUAGAAAGGAUUGACAAACUUAGAGCUCUUUCUUGAUUCUAUGGGUGGUGGUGCAUGGCCGUUCUUAGUUGUUGGAGCGAUUUGUCUGGUUAAUUCCAAUAACGAACGAGACCUCAGCCUGCUAACUAGCUACACGGAGGUGAUCCUCUGUGGCUAGCUUCUUAGAGGGACUAUGGCUGCUUAGGCCAAGGAAGUUUGAGGCAAUAACAAGUUUGUGAUGCCCUUAGAUGUUCUGGGCCUCACGCGCGUUACACUGAUGUAUUCAACGAGUCUAUAGCCAUGGCCGACAUGCCCAAGUAAUCUUUGAAAUUUCAUAGUGAUGGGGAUAGAUCAUUGCAAUUGUUGGUCUUCAACGAGGAAUUCCUAGUAACCGUGAGUCAUCAGCUCGCGUUAACUACGUCCCUGCCCUUUGCACACACUGCCCGUCGCUCAUACCGAUUGAAUGAUCCGGUGAAGUGUUCGGAUCGCGGCGACGUGGGCGGUUCGCUACCCGCGAUGUCUUGAGAAGUCCACUGAACCUUAUCAUUUAUAGGAAGGAGAAGUCGUAACAAGGUUUUCAUAGGUGAACCUGCGGAAG